AGAGGAACAAAAAGAAUCACAAUUAACAAUUUGAAAAGAAAAACGAAUUUUUUUUUCUUUCUGGUUAACUGAAGGGGUUGCAUUCUAAUUGAAAUCUGCUAAUCGGGUUAAUUUUUUUUUUCUUUUCUCUUUCACUUUUGUUUACAUUCUCGUUGAUUAAUUUCUCAAGUGGACAUUGACUUGGAUCAGUUUAUUUCCUUUUCCUUUAUAUUUUUUAUAUUCGUUCGAAUAGAAGACAAAUUUAUUAAUUACUGAUCAAGAUUCAAUCUGAUUGUACAUGGUUGAUGGUAAAAGAAAAGCGAAACAAUCAAUCAAUUGAAAUUAUCUUGAGAAUCAAAAGUAGACCAAGUUAAUCAUGUUUUCUAUUGUUUUUUCUUCUUCUUCUUCUUCAGCUACAUAAUCAUUUCUUUUUGAUUAAUCAAUGGUGACAAUUUAACCUUCCCUCGAUUGGUAAAAGAUGAUUACAAUUGUUGGGUAACAUGAUGUAAACACUUGAUUGGAUUUGUAAUAUUAUAAGUAAACAUGGAAACAUUUUCUCAGCAUAAGGUUUAAUUGGACCAAUUUAAUGAACAAUUUCACAUCCUCCGUUGGAAUAUGUACAUAAAUACAUUCAUCUUCAUUCUGUGACCUCUGUCACCUUUUUCUUCCUCCUGUCAAACCUCAUCUUCAUUAUCAUUUUCACCUUUAACCAUCUUCUUUUUUCUACCAUUAACCUGAACUUGCCUACAUUAAAAAUCUGUGAUGAUCAGAUCAAUUGAGAACAGGAAAGAAAAAGUAACAAUUGGACUACACACUGGAAUAUAAGUUUGAUGAAAUAGGAGAAAGAAACUGUUGAAAUCAUGGUAACAGCAUGGUAACCAGACCAUGAACAUUGCCUCAAAUCAAUCAAUUGACUUAAACUUUAAUGAUUAACUUGUACACAUAUAACUCAUGUACGGUCUUUGGCUAAGGUCUGGUGAUUCAACUGACCAGAGCACAAACACACAUAACAUAUACAGCGAGAUAGAGAGAGAGAGAGUGAGAGAGAGAGUAAAAUACACAAAAUAUCAUGGAUAUCAAUUGGUUCAUUUUCUAUUCUUUUCUGUUUUUCUCCUUCGUUAUAAUGGAAUAGUAAAUAAUUAGCUUUGAAUAAAUUAAAUGGUUGAGUAAAUGUGAACAUGGAAUAGUUCACAUUCACCUCAUCAACUGAAUCAACUUGCCAAAAAAACGAGGAAAUCAAAUGCAACGAGAAAUAAUCAAAUCUAAUCAGGAAAAUAUUCAUCACACCAAGAUUAUGAUUUAAUAUCUUCAAUCUCAACAUGAUAACAAUACAUCACAUUGAUUCAAUGCUGAUGAUGAUUCUUGAUUCCCCUCUCUCUCUCUCUUCAUAUUGAUUAUUAAUCAAUUGAUUAACAAGUUGAUUCCAACGGAGGGAAAGCCAAAAAUUCAAUUGGAUUUAAUUGUUAUCACUUAUCCUGGUUUCUCAUGUAUCUAUUAAUGUAUACAUAUUACAUUUACAAAGACUCAAUAUUAUUAAUCGUUUUAAAGGUAAUUUUUGUACUAUCAUUAUAUUAGGUAAGCUACUUUAUUAAUUUCAUCUCCUCCUCUACUAUUAACAAUUUAAUUAUAUUAUCCAAUAUUAAUAACAAUUAUAAAUUAAUGUAUAACCAAAUUAUGAUCAGGCAAAGAUAUUGUAACAAUAUGAGCUUAAAAAUAUAUAAUAUCCUAAUAAUAUAAUCCUUAUCUGAUUAGAUUUAGUAACAAGAUGAUGAUGAAAAAAUUGAACAGAUUAAUGAUUAGGUUGAUGAUGAUGAUGAUGAUUUUUGAAAGAUGAAGAUGGAUGAGAAAUAUGAAAAGGUAUUGAAACUAUUUCUCUCUAUGUAAUAAUACAAUUAGGGUAACAAUUAAUUUGAUUCCAGUUAAUUUGAUUAAAAGCAAUGUUAAUAAUUCUACUGGUAUGAUUAAUGAUAAUCAAAUUUUGCUUCAUUUUCUGUUUGGUUUAAUAUUGAAAUUUAAAGGUUAAUCUGAUUGUUGAAAUGUUUAAAUUGUGACAAAUGAUUUUUCUUGAUUUUUGUUUAUGUAAAAAUUAAAUUAUCAUAUCAACAAUUAUCUUGACAGUUAAAUCUAAUCAAUAUUAAUCUUUGUGUGUAUCCUCUUAAUUAUGAAUAUGAUUUAUACGCAUUGAUAAGCACAAU